GACGAACGCUGGCGGCGUGCUUAACACAUGCGAGUCGAACGGAAAGGCCCUGCGUUUGUGGGGUGCUCGAGUGGCGAACGGGUGAGUAACACGUGAGUAACCUGCCCUUGACUUUGGGAUAACUUCAGGAAACUGGGGCUAAUACCGGAUAGGAGCUCCUGCUGCAUGGUGGGGGUUGGAAAGUUUCGGCGGUUGGGGAUGGACUCGCGGCUUAUCAGCUUGUUGGUGGGGUAGUGGCUUACCAAGGCUUUGACGGGUAGCCGGCCUGAGAGGGUGACCGGCCACAUUGGGACUGAGAUACGGCCCAGACUCCUACGGGAGGCAGCAGUGGGGAAUAUUGCACAAUGGGCGGAAGCCUGAUGCAGCAACGCCGCGUGCGGGAUGACGGCCUUCGGGUUGUAAACCGCUUUCGCCUGUGACGAAGCGUGAGUGACGGUAAUGGGUAAAGAAGCACCGGCUAACUACGUG
rnacentral:rRNA from 1 species